UCUUAUCCACAUUUUGGUCUGGAAACCAAAUUUUAUCACGGUUUCCGAGAGAACAACUCAGAAUUAGAUUUGGAUUAAGUUUGGAAGUUCAAUUCACUUGGUUGUGAAUCUACAAAACGUUGAAGAAUCUGCUAGCUUUAAGCUUGAAGAAACCUAUCAAUUAAUGGUGGUAGUCUAUUAAUGAAGUGUAAGGUUGAUGCAGCAACUGUUGUUGUUGUUGUUGUUGUUGAUAAUAGGAGCUGCGGCUUUAUCAGGGAAAGAGGGACAUGCUGAGAGAAUUGUAGUUAUGAC